AAUAAUAGUGUAGUAUCGUGGACAAAAGGCCUAAGAUAUCGGCCGAACCAGACGCUAAAGACAGUGUUAGUUGAGACGCCGGCGAGAACGAAUGCAAAAGGCGUACAGUGUGAGUUGAGAAGCGAGAGCGUGCGAGGGCAGAAGUCGAAGACUAGAGUUGUAGAGUUGUAGAGUUGCUAGCGUUGUAGAGAGAUCGAGUUGUUGCGUUAUAGAGUUGCGAGAGUGAUUUGAGUAGAAUAAGACUUUUAUGUUUUAGUUCAAGUUGAACAUUUAUCGUUCUCCGUCCAAUUAAUCUCUGUUAUUUUUAUUUAUCUUAAAUAAAUAGUAUUAGGAGAAUUUUACAAAUCUAAAUUAUCCUAAUCCUAUCCUUUUUCGCGAUACUACAAUAGUG
rnacentral:misc_RNA from 1 species